UACGUAGGGGGCAAGCGUUGUCCGGAAUCAUUGGGCGUAAAGCGCGUGUAGGCGGCUCGGUAAGUCUGCUGUGAAAGUCCAGGGCUCAACCCUGGGAUGCCGGUGGAUACUGUCGAGCUCGAGUCCGGAAGAGGCGAGUGGAAUCCUGGUGUAGCGGUGAAAUGCGCAGAUAUCAGGAGGAACACCAAUGGCGAAGGCAGCUCGCUGGGACGUAACUGACGCUGAGACGCGAAAGCGUGGGGAGCGAACAGG
rnacentral:rRNA from 1 species